AAGCGUUGGCUGAAACACCAGAUUCUUGUCGACAGCCACAACAACGCUGGAGUAACUCAGCGGGACAGACACGAUUCUUGUAAAUUUGUCCUUUCUGGAGAGAAGGAUUCGCAAAGCAGGAAUAAAAACAUGGUCUGACUAAUCAUUAAGGCCUGCAGCUAUGUGGCAAGCAAGAUCGGCAGUGUUAUUCACAAAAAGGAAGGCCCACCUUCUGGCAUGUCCGAGCCACAAAGCAGCCAGGUCCAAGAUGAAAAGUACAAUCUGGUAAACACAUCGGAGGAUGAGGGAUUCUUCCCGGAAAAGCCACCGACAUCGGGAGCCGUGGUCCAGCAGAGUGGAUCCUGAGGAUAAAGGGUGCACCAGCCUUGUCUUGGCAUUCAGUGCAUUUGCAUAGUUCCUGACACAACAGAAUAUGUGAGACCACAGCAAAGCAUGAAGACUUGCCCAGCAACUCCCUUCCCAGUGAGAUGAGCAUUUCUGAAUAUACCUGCUGUGUUUCAAAGUUCACAAGUUCAUGUUGUAGUAUAAUCAGACCAUUCGGCCCAUCAAGUCUAAUCUGCCAUUCAAUCAUGGCUGAUCUAUCUUUCCCUCUCAACCCAUUCUCCUGCUUUCUCCUCAUAACACCUGAUACCUGUACUAAUCAAGAAUACAUCUGUCUCUGCCGUAAAAAUAUCCAUUGACGGCCUCCACAGCCUUCUGUGGCAAAGAAUUCCACAGUUUCACCACCCUCUGACCAAAUAAAUUCCUCUUCAUCUCCUUUCUAAAGGCGCAUCCUUCUAUUCCGAGGCCGCGACCUCUGGUCCUAGACUCUCCCACUAGUGGAAACUUCUCUCCACAUCCACUUUAUCCAAGCCUUACACUAUUUGGUACAUUUCAGUGAGGUCCCUCUUCCCCUCAUCCUUCUGAAAUCAAGCGAGUACAGGCCCAGCGCUGCCAAAUGCUCAUCGUAGGUUAACCCACUCAUUCCUGGGGUCAUUCUUGUAAAUCUCCUCUGGACCCGCUCCAGAGCCAGUGCAUCCUGCCUCAGAUAAGGGGGCCCAAAAUUGCUCACAAUAUUCCAAAUGCAACCUUACCAUCAAGAUGACAUCACUGCUUCUGUAUGCAAACCCUCUUGAAAUUAAUACUGGCAUUGCGUUUGCCUCCCUUACUACUGAUACGACUUGCAAAUUAACUUUACGGGAAUCAUGUCCUAGCACUCCCUUUGCUCCUCUGGUCUUGGGCACUUGAUGUAUUUGAAUAAUUUCCUGACACGACAGUACACGAGAGACCACAGCAAAACGUGAGGACGUGCCCAGCAACUCACUGACCUGUGAGAUGGGCAUUUCUGAAAAUACCUGCUGUGGUUUAAAGUCUACAAAUUAAAAAUCAAUCAUGCAUGAUGACAAA